CAUUUGAACUGGGAGUUUUUGAACUUGCAAGAUGCUUUUGGAGAAAGCAAUCUUGACCUAUUUGCAAGUUACUUGCAGAGUCAAGAUUUCAUCAAAUAUUAUUGCAUUGCAUGCUGUAACUUGUAAGCAUCAAUUCCACAAGUUCAAAUUGUGCACUCAAGAUAAGAGUUGCCUCACACAUCUGAUUUACUGUCAAAAUAUAACCACACAUCUCUAAUACAGUAUUCUUCUAUUGCACAUGAAGUUUAUAAAAUCCCAAAAUACAUUUUGUCCAAUAUCCAUUCCUAGCCCAAGCAUCUUCAGCCUUGCUCAGAUGAUGCCUUGAGUCAACCAGAGUCUUGAGCUUUCCUUCAUCAACUUAACAAGGUAGUCCAGAUUCUCACCUUUGGGAUUUAUGAUCAAUUGCACCAGCUCUUUCCUGGAAGCUGAGUCUCUGCAGAACAGAAGUGAUCAAGGUACUUGGGCCGGAAGUAAGGUCUGUAACCUUCCCAUUUGCACUCAAAUUUGGCUAGCUUCAGCUUUCUUAGGACUUAGGCCAUUUUGAUCAAUUCUUUGUAGGGCCGUAGUUUCAGGGCAUCAUGAGGUAAGGCACAUUCUUUUGUAUUUUGUCUUGAGCUCCAUUGGAGUCUCUGUUGGAUUUCAGGGGACCCUCUGAACUGAAUUGCAAGUUUACUGCAGCAAUACUCGAAAUGUUUUCCUUGUGCAGUCGAUUGUUUUAAUGAUAGAUAGAGAUGGCUUCUAUUAGAUCUCUCAUUGCAGUUAGUGAGGUUCUAAAUAGACCUCAGACAAAUGCACAUUGUUGUUGUCAUCCGUAAAGAUUUUCCGGGGUUAAUAAGGGAGCUGCUGAUUAGAAAGAGCAAAAUGAGCCCGGAUUUGUGGAAAGAACUGAGUUUAUAAAAUCCCAAUAUUUUUACUCUAACUCUAAGUCUCCACAAUGAUCUUCCCAAUAGCAUAGCCAUCAGUUUUCCUAGCCCAAGCAUCUUCAGCCUUGCUCAGAUGGUGCCUUGAGUCAACCAAAGUCUUGAGCUUUCCUUCCUUCAUGAACUCAACAAGAUAGUCCAGAUUCUCACCUUCGGGAUUUAUGAUCAAUGGCACCAGCUGUUUCCUGGAGAAGCUGAGUCUCUGUAGAACAAUAGUGAUCCAGGUACUUGGCCUGGAAGUAAGGUCUAUAACCUUCCCAGUUGCUCUCAAAUUCGGCUCAAAAGUCGACCAAGGAAUGCCUGCUGAUGCACAGUGGAUCACAACAUCAUAUUUUCGACCGGAUGGGCUCUUGAGAGCAGCCCCAUCAGGGGUCUUGUAGUCAAGAACCUCAUCUGCCCCUAGGCUCUUGACAAUGUCAACGUUACGAGCACCGCAAGUGGCGGUAACAUGAGUGUUUCCAAGCUUGGCUAGCUGGACUACAUAGUGCCCGACGCCACCAGAGGCGCCGGUGAUCAGUAUGUUCUUGAGCAGGCCAGUUCCAUCAAGCUUGAUCCCUGCAGCUUUGGUGAGAGCCUGGUGAGCUGUGAGGCCGGAACUAGGCAAGCCUGCGCCUUCAGCUGCUGAAACUUCUGGGGGCCUAGCAGAAGUUAUAAAUGUCUCACUAGCUAUGGCAAACUCAGCUAAUCCACCUCCAUUCUGUCAAUAUGUGUAAAAUCACAUCAAACACAAACUGAGGCUUUCUUGAUGGUAUAUAUGUCAGUAAAAAACAUAUGAAUUUAUAUAUUUGAAACUUACUAUAAAGUUGAGCAUUGCCACAACUUUGUCGCCCUCUUUAAAUUUUUCAACUCCUUGUCCGACCUCUACAACCUCUCCAGCCACAUCAACAGCUGUUCCGGAUAAUAUCAGCCAAAGUUAACAAUCCAAAUGAAUGCAUAAAUCAGAAAACAACUAAUUCUCCAGUUAAUCCAUCUACCCAACAACACUCCUCAUUUUUAUAUUCACGAAUCGAUGAAUCAAUGAACGAUAUUAGACAGAUAAAUUAGCCCAAUCGACUAUUGUUUGGGAUAGAAGCAGAUGUUUGUUUG
rnacentral:lncRNA from 1 species